GAUGAACGCUGGCGGCGUGCCUAAUACAUGCAAGUAGAACGCUGAAGGAAGGAGCUUGCUCUUUCCGGAUGAGUUGCGCACGGGUGAGUAACGCGUAGGUAACCUGCCUGGUAGCGGGGGAUAACUAUUGGAAACGAUAGCUAAUACCGCAUAACAGUAGAUGUUGCAUGAUAUCUACUUAAAAUUUGCAAUUGCACCACUACCAGAUGGACCUGCGUUGUAUUAGCUGGUUGGUGAGGUAACGGCUCACCAAGGCGACGAUACAUAGCCGACAUGAGAGGGUGAGCGGCCACACUGGGACGGUGACACGGCCCAGACGGCUUCGGGAGGCAGCAGUAGGGAAUCGGCGGCAAGGGGCGGAAGACUGAGCGAGAAACGCCGCGGGAGGGAAGAAGGUUGUCGGAUCGGAAAGCUCGGUUGUAAGGGAAGAACGAGUGUGAGAGUGGAACGUUCACACUGUGACGGUAUCUUACCAGAAAGGGACGGCUAACUACGUG
rnacentral:rRNA from 1 species